rnacentral:rRNA from 1 species
CCUACGGGUGGCAGCAGUGGGGAAUAUUGGACAAUGGGCGAAAGCCUGAUCCAGCCAUGCCGCGUGAGUGAUGAAGGCCCUAGGGUUGUAAAGCUCUUUUAACGGGGAAGAUAAUGACGGUACCCGUAGAAUAAGCCCCGGCUAACUUCGUGCCAGCAGCCGCGGUAAUACGAAGGGGGCUAGCGUUGCUCGGAAUCACUGGGCGUAAAGCGCACGUAGGCGGACUCUUAAGUCGAUGGUGAAAUCCUGGAGCUCAAGUACAGAACUGCCUUCGAUACUGGGAGUCUUGAGUUCGGGAGAGGUGAGUGGAACUGCGAGUGUAGAGGUGAAAUUCGUAGAUAUUCGCAAGAACACCAGUGGCGAAGGCGGCUCACUGGCCCGAUACUGACGCUGAGGUGCGAAAGCGUGGGGAGCAAACAGGAUUAGAUACCCCAGUAGUC